rnacentral:rRNA from 1 species
UACGUAGGGUGCAAGCGUUAAUCGGAAUUACUGGGCGUAAAGCGUGCGCAGGCGGUUGUGCAAGACAGAUGUGAAAUCCCCGGGCUCAACCUGGGAAUUGCAUUUGUGAUGCACGGCUAGAGUGUGUCAGAGGGGGGUAGAAUUCCACGUGUAGCAGUGAAAUGCGUAGAGAUGUGGAGGAACACCGACGGCGUAGGCAGCGCCCUGGACGACACCUGACGCUGAGGCACGAAAGCUGGGGGAGCGAACAGG